GAUGAACGCUGGCGGUCUGCUUAACACAUGCAAGUCGAACGGAAUCCUUCGGGAUUUAGUGGCGGACGGGUGAGUAACACGUGAGAAUCUGCACUCAGGAUGGGGACAACAGCGGGACACUGCUGCUAAUACCCAAUGUGCCGAAAGGUAAAAGAUUUAUCGCCUGAGAAUGAGCUCGCGGCCGAUUAGUUAGUUGGUGGGGUAAUGGCCUACCAAGACGGCGAUCGGUAGCUGGUCUGAGAGGAUGAGCAGCCACACUGGGACUGAGACACGGCCCAGACUCCUACGGGAGGCAGCAGUGGGGAAUUUUCCGCAAUGGGCGCAAGCCUGACGGAGCAAGACCGCGUGGGGGAGGAAGGCUCUUGGGUUGUAAACCCCUUUUCUCAAGGAAGAACAAAAUGACGGUACUUGAGGAAUCAGCCUCGGCUAACUCCGUGCCAGCCGCCGCAGUAAAAC
rnacentral:rRNA from 1 species